rnacentral:lncRNA from 1 species
GACCGGGUUAUGGUUGUUGUUAGAAAUUUAUUUCCAUCAGCCCUCUUGAGGUGCUGCCGUUUCCAUCUGUCCCAAGCCUGGUGGAGAGAAAAAUCAAGCAUUAGGACUCUCUAAAGAAUACAAGGAAUGUACAACAGUGAACUGAAGUGGGAAAAUGGUUGCACACAUUUUUCGGACUUUCUUUUCUUCCGGAUACAGAUCAAACCUGCCGGUCCCAAGACCGGAUAAAAGAGGAGGGAAGUCAUAGAUAUAUAUAUAUAUAUAAAAAAAAAGCGCAAAUGUCCUAUGUAAAAAGCGCAAAUGUCCAUUUUUAAAAAGCGCAAAUGUCCUAUGUUUUGAAGCGCAAGUG